AGUGAACGCUGGCGGCGUGCUUAACACAUGCAAGUCGAACGAGAACGGAUUAUAGCUUGCUAUAAUUGUCAGCUAAGUGGCGCACGGGUGAGUAAUGUAUAGGUAAUAUGCGUCUUACUAAGGGAUAACAAAUGGAAACGUUUGCUAAUACCUUAUACUCCUUAUUAACAUAAGUUAAUAAGGGAAAGAUUUAUUGGUAAGAGAUUAGCCUGUAUUGUAUCAGUUAGUUGGUGGGGUAAUGGCUUACCAAGACUAUGACACAUAACUGGUUUGAGAGGAUGAUCAGUCACACUGGAACUGAGACACGGUCCAGACUCCUACGGGAGGCAGCAGUGGGGAAUAUUGCACAAUGGACGAAAGUCUGAUGCAGCAACGCCGCGUGGAGGAUGACACAUUUCGGUGCGUAAACUCCUUUUAUAUGAGAAGAUAAUGACGGUAUUAUAUGAAUAAGCACCGGCUAACUCCGCGCCAGCCGCCGCCGUAA
rnacentral:rRNA from 1 species